AAUCCAAGCGCUACAUGAUGCUAAAUAAAAAAAUAAAAGAAGAGUGAUGACCUCAGUCAAGACCCCACCCAGUGUUUCUUUGGCACAGAUGAAGAACAGAAAGCUUGGGAGUCAGUUCUGAGGGGAUGAGAGAAUGACUAAACAAAGACAGACAAUGAGAAGAGGCAUCCACAGAAUGGCAGGACUCAGGCAAUUGUUGCAAGGAUCCAAUAUUAGAAGAGGAAUCCUGGGGUAAAAAGUUGUGUUACUACUGAAAACUUUUCUGAGUACUUCAGCAGAGGUUCUUCCCAGCCCAGAAUACCAUGCUUUCUGAUGGGACUCUUUGACAUGGUCAAGAAAGUUUGUGGAAGUUUUAAUAAGAAUCAA